rnacentral:lncRNA from 1 species
UGAGGUCAAGCCACACAGCCACCGGAAGCGGUUGCGACUGAAGAUUUUUCUUCCAGCCAUUGGCAUCGCUAUAUGUUUAUCUCUUCUAUUGGUUGCGCUCCUUCUGUUCAAAGGGAGAAAAGGGUCGGACAGGAUCAGUGCUACGCGAAACCAUUUGUUGGAGAACAAGUAUCCGAGAGUUUCAUACCUCCAGCUCUUUGAAGCGACGGAUGGUUUUGCCCCUGCUAAUCUGAUAGGAGCUGGAAAAUAUGGAUCUGUUUACAAAGGAAGACUGUCUAUCACAGGUGUUGGGGAUUCUGU